rnacentral:rRNA from 1 species
GUCUGCAGUGGGUACGGCAGACUAGAGUGCGGUAGGGGAGAUUGGAAUUCCUGGUGUAGCGGUGGAAUGCGCAGAUAUCAGGAGGAACACCGAUGGCGAAGGCAGAUCUCUGGGCCGCUACUGACGCUGAGGAGCGAAAGGGUGGGGAGCAAACAGGCUUAGAUACCCUGGUAGUCCACCCCGUAAACGUUGGGCGCUAGAUGUGGGGACCAUUCCACGGUUUCCGUGUCGUAGCUAACGCAUUAAGCGCCCCGCCUGGGGAGUACGGCCGCAAGGCUAAAACUCAAAGGAAUUGACGGGGGCCCGCACAAGCGGCGGAGCAUGCGGAUUAAUUCGAUGCAACGCGAAGAACCUUACCAAGGCUUGACAUAUACGAGAACGGGCCAGAAAUGGUCAACUCUUUGGACACUCGUAAACAGGUGGUGCAUGGUUGUCGUCAGCUCGUGUCGUGAGAUGUUGGGUUAAGUCCCGCAACGAGCGCAACCCUCGUUCUAUGUUGCCAGCACGUAAUGGUGGGAACUCAUGGGAUACUGCCGGGGUCAACUCGGAGGAAGGUGGGGACGACGUCAAAUCAUCAUGCCCCUUAUGUCUUGGGCUUCACGCAUGCUACAAUGGCCAGUACAAAGGGCUGCAAUACCGUAAGGUGGAGCGAAUCCCAAAAAGCUGGUCCCAGUUCGGAUUGAGGUCUGCAACUCGACCUCAUGAAGUCGGAGUCGCUAGUAAUCGCAGAUCAGCAACGCUGCGGUGAAUACGUUCCCGGGCCUUGUACACACCGCCCGUCAAGUCAUGAAAGUCGGUAACACCCGAAGCCAGUGGCCUAACCGCAAGGAUGGAGCUGUCU